GCCGGGAAUACUCGAAAUCUCUCCACACGGAGGGCCUACAGUAAGCUCGGUGACAGGGAAUAAGUCGUAACAAGGCACGGCUAGCGGAAGCUGGUCGUGGAAUAAUUCAAUU
rnacentral:rRNA from 1 species